AUAUUCUGAACUGAAGUACAAAGGCAAAUUGACAAUGAUGGGCUGAAGAAUCAUUGCAGUGGCUUCCUGAUUGGUCCCCACUCUUUGUAUUCAUAAAAACAUUAGGAGAGAAGUCUCUUUUGAUUUGUGGAAAAUAAUAAAACUUUAGCUGAACCCUCAAUUAAAAAGACCUUCUGAGUCCUCUGGUUGAAUGCAACAUUGCAAACCUAAGGAUACUCAGAGGAAGCAUUAAGUCCUGCAAGAGUCUAAUAUCUUUUCCUGGCAAAAAUCACAAUUUCAGGAGGAGACUUUUCCCCUUCCUGGUGGAGCCGAACCUGCCCCGGAGAGUUUGUUCGUGGUGGAGCCGAACCUGCCCCGGAGAGCUUGUUCC